UACUGUGUUGGUGGUGUCAACAGUACUUGCAUCAAAACUGAAGGAUAUGGAGGUUAGCAUGACACCAGAAUAAGGAUGACACUUAAAUCCCUGAGGCAUUCCAUAUUUUU